CUUCCUUCUUUAUCCUUUGUUUCCUUGGUUCUUCUUAACAUCAAGGUCCUCAAAAUUCCCUUGACCAAUUUCAGGGCUCUUUGAUCACCCUAGGUUCUUCUUAACAUCAAGGUCCUCAAAAUUCCCUUGACCAAUUUCAGGGCUCUUUGAUCACCCUGCUCAUAGGGCUUUUGAAUCAACUUAGUCCACCUAUAUUACAAAGCAGAUUAACAAAUGAAAAAUAGUAGUCUUCAAAUGAUUUUUAUUCCAAAACAUUGAUCAAUUUACACUAGCUACAAGAUAGCCUAAUAUUUGAC
rnacentral:lncRNA from 1 species